CCUACGGGUGGCAGCAGUGAGGAAUAUUGGUCAAUGGACGAGAGUCUGAACCAGCCAAGUAGCGUGAAGGAUGACUGCCCUAUGGGUUGUAAACUUCUUUUAUAUGGGAAUAAAAUGUUCCACGUGUGGGAGUUUGUAUGUAUCAUAUGAAUAAGGAUCGGCUAACUCCGUGCCAGCAGCCGCGGUAAUACGGAGGAUCCGAGCGUUAUCCGGAUUUAUUGGGUUUAAAGGGUGCGUAGGUGGAUUGUUAAGUUAGUUGUGAAAGUUUGCGGCUCAACCGUAAAAUUGCAGCUGAAACUGGCAGUCUUGAGUACAGUAGAGGUGGGCGGAAUUCGUGGUGUAGCGGUGAAAUGCUUAGAUAUCACGAAGAACUCCGAUUGCGAAGGCAGCUCACUGGACUGCAACUGACACUGAGGCUCGAAAGUGUGGGUAUCAAACAGGAUUAGAUACCCGGGUAGUC
rnacentral:rRNA from 1 species